ACUCCUACGGGAGGCAGCAGUAGGGAAUCUUCCACAAUGGGCGCAAGCCUGAUGGAGCAACACCGCGUGAGUGAAGAAGGGUUUCGGCUCGUAAAGCUCUGUUGUUAAAGAAGAACACGUAUGAGAGUAACUGUUCAUACGUUGGCGGUAUUUAACCAGAAAGUCACGGCUAACUACGUGCCAGCAGCCGCGGUAAUACGUAGGUGGCAAGCGUUAUCCGGAUUUAUCGGGCGUAAAGAGAGUGCAGGCGGUUUUCUAAGUCUGAUGUGAAAGCCUUCGGCUUAACCGGAGAAGUGCAUCGGAAACUGGAUAACUUGAGUGCAGAAGAGGGUAGUGGAACUCCAUGUGUAGCGGUGGAAUGCGUAGAUAUAUGGAAGAACACCAGUGGCGAAGGCGGCUACCUGGUCUGCAACUGACGCUGAGACUCGAAAGCAUGGGUAGCGAACAGGAUUAGAUACCCUGGUAGGAUAGCG
rnacentral:rRNA from 1 species